GCCUUCGUGGUGUAACGGUUAGCACACUCGGCGCAUAUUCGAGAGGUACAGGUUCGAGUCCCUGUGAGGGCA
rfam:Stegodyphus mimosarum contig10459, whole genome shotgun sequence.